rnacentral:rRNA from 1 species
UACGGGGGGAGCAAGCGUUGUUCGGAUUUACUGGGCGUAAAGGGCGCGUAGGCGGCCAGCACAAGUCAGUUGUGAAAUCUCCGAGCUUAACUCGGAAAGGUCAACUGAUACUGUGCGGCUAGAGUGCGGAAGGGGCAACUGGAAUUCUUGGUGUAGCGGUGAAAUGCGUAGAUAUCAAGAGGAACACCGGUGGCGAAGGCGGCCUUCUGGACAGCAUCUGACGCUGAGACGCGAAAGCGUGGGGAGCAAACAGG